rnacentral:rRNA from 1 species
GAUGAACGCUGGCGGCGUGCCUAAUACAUGCGAGUCGAGCGAACAGAUGAGGAGCUUGCUCCUCUGACGUUAGCGGCGGACGGGUGAGUAACACGUGGAUAACCUACCUAUAAGACUGGGAUAACUUCGGGAAACCGGAGCUAAUACCGGAUAAUAUAUUGAACCGCAUGGUUCAAUAGUGAAAGACGGUUUUGCUGUCACUUAUAGAUGGAUCCGCGCCGCAUUAGCUAGUUGGUAAGGUAACGGCUUACCAAGGCAACGAUGCGUAGCCGACCUGAGAGGGUGAUCGGCCACACUGGAACUGAGACACGGUCCAGACUCCUACGGGAGGCAGCAGUAGGGAAUCUUCCGCAAUGGGCGAAAGCCUGACGGAGCAACGCCGCGUGAGUGAUGAAGGUCCUCGGAUCGUAAAACUCUGUUAUUAGGGAAGAACAAAUGUGUAAGUAACUAUGCACGUCUUGACGGUACCUAAUCAGAAAGCCACGGCUAACUACGUG